GUUAUGGUUCCUUAGAUCGUACCCACACUUACUUGGAUAACUGUGGUAAUUCUAGAGCUAAUACAUGCAAACAGAGCUCCGACCGGAGACGGAAGGAGUGCUUUUAUUAGAUCAAAACCAAUCGGUGGCGGGCUCGCUCGUCAUCGUACAACUUGGUGACUCUGAAUAACUUUACGCUGAUCGCACGGUCUUCGCACCGGCGACGCAUCUUUCAAAUGUCUGCCUUAUCAACUGUCGAUGGUAGGUUCUGCGCCUACCAUGGUUGUAACGGGUAACGGGGAAUCAGGGUUCGAUUCCGGAGAGGGAGCCUGAGAAACGGCUACCACAUCCAAGGAAGGCAGCAGGCGCGCAAAUUACCCACUCCCGGCACGGGGAGGUAGUGACGAAAAAUAACGAUACGGGACUCAUCCGAGGCCCCGUAAUCGGAAUGAGUACACUCUAAACCCUUUAACGAGGAUCAAUUGGAGGGCAAGUCUGGUGCC
rnacentral:rRNA from 1 species